GAUGAAGAACGUAGCGAAAUGCGAUAAGUAGUGUGAAUUGCAGAUUUCAGUGAAUCAUCGAAUCUUUGAACGCACAUUGCGCCCUGUGGUAUUCCGCAGGGCAUGCCUGUUCGAGCGUCAUUUCAACCCUCAAGCUCUGCUUGGUGUUGGGCCCUGCCCGCUGCGGCCGGCCCUAAAGACAGUGGCGGUGCCGCCUGGCCCUGAGCGUAGUACAUCUCUCGCUCCAGUGCCCGGUGGUAGCCUGCCAGAACCCCAACUCUCGUGGUUGACCUCGGAUCAGGUAGGGAUACCCGCUGAACUUAAGCAUAUCAAUAAGCGGAGGA
rnacentral:misc_RNA from 1 species